rfam:Clostridium sp. JC272 Contig25, whole genome shotgun sequence.
AUGAAUAGCUAGGGGUGCCCCAACGGCUGAGAGAUGAAUUUAUUCAUUAACCCUCAAACCUGAUCUGGAUAAUACCAGCGUAGGAAAGCUUUACUAAAUAUAC